UACAGAGGUCUCAAGCGUUGUUCGGAUUCAUUGGGCGUAAAGGGUGCGUAGGCGGCGCGGUAAGUCGGGUGUGAAAUCUCGGAGCUUAACUCCGAAACUGCAUUCGAUACUGCCGUGCUUGAGGACUGGAGAGGAGACUGGAGUUUACGGUGUAGCGGUGAAAUGCGUAGAUAUCGUAAGGAAGACCAGUGGCGAAGGCGGGUCUCUGGACAGUUCCUGACGCUGAGGCACGAAGGUCAGGGGGAGCAAACGGG
rnacentral:rRNA from 1 species